UGCCGGGUCCCGAGCAAGGGGGCGGUCGGCGCACCUGGUCAGGUCCGGAAGGAAGCAGCCAACGGUGGCUGUCUCUUGUGCCCGGGGUGCCUGGCGGGU
rnacentral:SRP_RNA from 1 species